UAAACUCUUGUUAUUUUAUGUAAUCUGAGCGUCUUAUUUUAAUAAGUCAAAACUUUCAACAACGGAUCUCUUGGUUCUGGCAUCGAUGAAGAACGCAGCGAAAUGCGAUAAGUAAUGUGAAUUGCAGAAUUCAGUGAAUCAUCGAAUCUUUGAACGC
rnacentral:rRNA from 1 species